GACAGAGGGUGCGAGCGUUGUUCGGAAUUACUGGGCGUAAAGCGCGUGUAGGCGGCCCUGCAAGUCGGAUGUGAAAUCCCACGGCUCAACCGUGGAAGUGCAUUCGAAACUGCAGGGCUAGAGUCCUGGAGAGGAAGGUGGAAUGCUUGGUGUAGAGGUGAAAUUCGUAGAUAUCAAGCGGAACACCGGUGGCGAAGGCGGCCUUCUGGACAGUGACUGACGCUGAGACGCGAAAGCGUGGGGAGCAAACAGG
rnacentral:rRNA from 1 species